UACGGAGGGUGCGAGCGUUGUCCGGAAUCACUGGGCGUAAAGGGCGCGUAGGCGGCCUGGUAAGUAGGGGGGUGAAAUCCUGCGGCUUAACCGCAGGGCUGCCUUCUAAACUGUCAGGCUCGAGCACAGUAGAGGCAGGUGGAAUUCCCGGUGUAGCGGUGGAAUGCGUAGAGAUCGGGAAGAACAUCAGUGGCGAAGGCGGCCUGCUGGGCUGUUGCUGACGCUGAGGCGCGACAGCGUGGGGAGCAAACAGG
rnacentral:rRNA from 1 species